rnacentral:rRNA from 1 species
UACGUAGGGGGCUAGCGUUGUCCGGAAUCAUUGGGCGUAAAGAGCGUGUAGGCGGCUCGGUAAGUCCGUUGUGAAAGUCCAGGGCUCAACCCUGGAAUGCCAGUGGAAACUGUCGAGCUAGAGUCCGGAAGAGGCGAGUGGAAUUCCUGGUGUAGCGGUGAAAUGCGCAGAUAUCAGGAGGAACACCAAUGGCGAAGGCAGCUCGCUGGGACGGUACUGACGCUGAGACGCGAAAGCGUGGGGAGCAAACAGG